rnacentral:lncRNA from 1 species
AUAGUGUCCUUUAUCUGAGCCUCCCAGGGCCUCGCACAAUGUUUGGCAUGUCCAUCCUAAUGGGUGUGAGGUGUUGCAGACUUGCUUUUGAAAUAACAUCACCACUGAACUGUCUCAUCAGAGGAGAGCUGCAGUCAGGGAGGUGGGGCGUCAGGAGCCCCCUCUGGAAGUGUUGAGUUUAAGAAUGCACUACUGAGACUGUGAUCCAGGAAUCAGGAAGCUGCCACUGCAACUGCCUUUUGACAUCUGUGAGGCUACGCUCUGGACACUUGGACACUGUUGCAGAAAACCUCUGUAAUUCCAUGCCCGUGACUGUCAGCAGCAACAGCGAAGACCACAAGAAGGUGACCCACCUUGAGUCCGAGUGCUUAAGAGGCAGCAGCAUGCUCCUGAGGAGGAGGAUCCUUGACAAAAGAAAGGUGAAAGUCAUGGAGAUAACCCUCCUGUACCUUGAAGAGCUUCCAUCUCUCCUGGAGAGUUCCCUUCCAGGGCUAAAACCUGGAAUUCCAGGCAACUGUGUUCACAGACCAAGUCAUUCCAAGCAGAGCUCCCAUCUAACCUGUGAUGUGAAUUUCAACCAACAACCAGUUUUAGGAAGUCAUAUCAAGACAGAAUAUUCCCAUCACCUCAGAAGCUUCCUUCAUGACCUUCCCAAUCAGCAACCCCUCUCCAAGCAAUUACUGAUCUGGUUUCCAUCACCAUAGGUAUUGUCCUCAUCCAUUUGGUUGAAGCUUGCUCACGACUCCCACAUCUUCAUUCCAGUCUGUGUGAAGGGAUAAAAAACAAGAGCCUUGGAGAAUGGGAGAGAUUCUCUGUUGGAAACCAUCCUGGGGUGUGCGGUCCAGCUAUGCCACCUAAACAAGCUUCUCCUUGGAGAGAUAAGGGCCUGAAGAUUAUGAGCAUCUGCUCCUUCUCUCUGUGGUCACGAGGCUGCUGUACUGAGGAGAGACUGAAGAAGACCAUGGCAAGGAGACCAGUGAAACUUCCUCAGCCAAUUCUCUGACUCUCUGAUACCAACAGGGUGUCCAACAAUUCAGUCUAAUUCUAACACUGACUACUUGGAGUCAGCCCAGACACCACAGGUUAAGAGUUCAGUCCCGCAAGACUGCCCCCACUACCGACGCCAGCCACAGAUGCAGUACCCAGGCUGCCAUGACCUCCCCCACCUCAGUGACCAAUAAUAUCCAGAUGAUAGAGUCUCCGCCAGCCUGGGUCCCUGAGUGAGAACAAUGUGGAGCAGAGCCCCUACCCUCCCACCGACCCAGAGUGGACAUGUAGCAAGAGCAAGAAAAAAGCAUUUGUUGUAGAGACUUGGGAGUUGUUUGCUAUUGCCCAGACUAAUACAGUGUUAUUACUGGGUUUUGUUGUGUUUUUUUUUUAAAGAUUGGCACCUGAGCUAACAUCUGUUGCCAAUCUUUCUUUUUUUCCUCUUUUUCUUCUUCUUCUCCUCAAAGCCCCCCAGUACAUAGUUGUAUACUAUAGUUGUAGGUCCUUUUGGUUGUGGUAUGUGGG